rnacentral:lncRNA from 1 species
CGAUUAUUCGGACGGGGUGAUUUCACACAUGCGCAGUGCCCAGGGUCGUGGUGAGGCGCAUGCGUACAAGCUCCGAGCAGCGGUUGGAUAGACAGAGAAGGGGAACCGGUCCGGCGGCCUUCCGGGCUGCGUCCGUCGCGCUCGGGUUUCGGCCGCGCCGGCUGUGGAGGCGAGUGGGGAGGAGAGCAGAGGCCGUUAAACAGCUGGCUCUCGCCCUGUGGAGGACCCUAGGAGUCGUAGUCUCUUCCACCGAAGCAUGCUGGGAAUUGUAGUUCUACCCAGCGGCUCCCUCACACUGGGGCAUCAUGGGAGUUGUAGUCUUGCUCCCGAAGCAUGAUGGGAGCUGUAGGCCUUACCAGGUGUUUCAUGGGAGUUGUAGUUUGUUAAUGAGCCAUGUUGGGCCAUAUGACAGUGCUAGAGAUGUCCAGCAUGCACAACAUGGGGCCUAGAUGCAUAUUAUCUUUGGGGACCAGUGUUGUGUUGGGUGCCACUCACUGACCACCCAACCCCAGCUCCCCUCCAUACACAGUGCAGCCGGGACUUAUGGAGCAAAAACAGCCAUUGCCCCUGCACAAGCUCUGUUCCUCCACCUCCUCAGAUGGAGCCAGAAACAGAUGCUCAGGAAGAAAAACAACACUGGAAAAACACAGCGAGACGAUCCACUCAAAGCCCACGAGAGGAUAACUUCGAAGGCCCUUCCUCUUCUUUUAAGAAGCUAUGUCCUGCCAAACCCUCCCCCAGCUUUCUUGAGCUUCCAUCUUCCCAACGGAGGCCCAGCCCAGGUCUACCCUGUGCCCAGGCUGCCAGGAAAGGACAGAAAAAAUUCACCCCUGAUCAUCAGCCACAGGAUUGUUACGGCCUACUGGAGUGCAUGCACAACAACAUCCAGAUCCAAACCCAGAUCGCUCUGGCACAAUUGAGCAUCCUGGAAGGCUUGCAGGAAUCCAUGAACUUGCUUCUGGC